rnacentral:rRNA from 1 species
GAUGAACGCUGGCGGCGUGCCUAAUACAUGCAAGUCGAGCGAACAGACGAGGAGCUUUCUCCUCUGACGUUAGCGGCGGACGGGUGAGUAACACGUGGAUAACCUACCUAUAAGACUGGGAUAACUUCGGGAAACCGGAGCCAAUACCGGCUAAUAUAUUGAACCGCAUGGUUCAAUAGUGAAAGACGGUUUUGCUGUCACUUAUAGAUGGAUCCGCGCCGCAUUAGCUAGUUGGUAAGGUAACGGCUUACCAAGGCAACGAUGCGUAGCCGACCUGAGAGGGUGAUCGGCCACACUGGAACUGAGACACGGUCCAGACUCCUACGGGAGGCAGCAGUAGGGAAUCUUCCGCAAUGGGCGAAAGCCUGACGGAGCAACGCCGCGUGAGUGAUGAAGGUCUUCGGAUCGUAAAACUCUGUUAUUAGGGAAGAACAAAUGUGUAAGUAACUAUGCACGUCUUGACGGUACCUAAUCAGAAAGCCACGGCUAACUACGUG